GAUGAACGCUGGCGGCGUGCCUAAUACAUGCAAGUCGAGCGAACAGAUGAGGAGCUUGCUCCUCUGACGUUAGCGGCGGACGGGUGAGUAACACGUGGAUAACCUACCUAUAAGACUGGGAUAACUUCGGGAAACCGGAGCUAAUACCGGAUAAUAUAUUGAACCGCAUGGUUCAAUAGUGAAAGACGGUUUUGCUGUCACUUAUAGAUGGAUCCGCGCCGCAUUAGCUAGUUGGUAAGGUAACGGCUUACCAAGGCAACGAUGCGUAGCCGACCUGAGAGGGGAAUCGCCCACAUGGAAACGGAGAAACGGCCAAAAUCCCUAGGGAAGGAGGCAGUAGGAAUCUUCCGGAAAGGGGGGAAAGCCUGAGGAAGAAAGGCGGGGUGGGUGAGGAGGUUCUUCGGACGGUAAAACUCGUUAAUAAGGAAAGAACAAAGGGGAAGGUAAUAAGGAACGCUUGAAGGUAACUAAACAAGAAAGCAAGGCUUAAUUAGGU
rnacentral:rRNA from 1 species